rnacentral:rRNA from 1 species
GACGUAGGGCGCGAGCGUUGUCCGGAUUUAUUGGGCGUAAAGAGCUCGUAGGCGGCUUGUCGCGUCGAAUGUGAAAACUCGGGGCUCAACUCCGAGCUUGCAUUCGAUACGGGCAGACUAGAGUUCGGUAGGGGAGACUGGAAUUCCUGGUGUAGCGGUGAAAUGCGCAGAUAUCAGGAGGAACACCGAUGGCGAAGGCAGAUCUCUGGGCCGUAACUGACGCUGAGGAGCGAAAGCAUGGGGAGCAAACAGG